AUUUAUUCCGCUAUCGUUUUGCCCUCGCAUGUCUAAUUGUGAGCGGAGGCUGAAGUUAACUUCAGGUGGUGGGUGUAGCCUACAGUGUAGCUAAGCUAAGUAACAAGACAAUUUAUUACAAAACCUCUAUAAAUAAAUAUUGGCACCUAUAAGAUAAACAUGUUUGCUCGGUUGUUUUACCCGUGUGUGUGCCAUACUGGUAGAAAAAUAAACUAGUCAGUCAUGUCUGCAAUUCAGGCACACAAAUAGGUCGCCUGUUUGUAACCUAUCUAAGUAACAUAGAUGAUAGUCUGGCGAUAUGCGAUUCUGGUUUGAUCGUUAGUACUGAUAACUGUGUACACCUAGCUCUGUUUUACUCUGUGAUUGCGUUGUAAGUUUUAAAAAUGCUUUAAAAAUGACCUAUGCAUGUAGGUUAACAGUUUUUAUUUAUUUUUAUUUUUUUGCUUUAUUGAAAAAUUUCUAAUAACUUAACGCGUUACAUAGCCUAAUGCUUUUCAAUACAUGCUUUUUCUAUAAUAUUUUUUAAACGAAAGCGCAUUAUCGAAAAGCCAACUUAUUUAGGCCAUAUGAUUUCCAGCAUUUGCUAAUGGGCUUCAAAUUCACAACAUUGUCUGUUAUGGGUCUAUUUGAGUCGAUGGCCUAUAGAUACAUUAUGAAGGUUUUGCGUAAAGUAGGGCCUACAUACUAGUGGAGCCUCCAGUCAUUCUGAAGCCGCGGAUAAAUUAGCUGAAUUCUCUGCUGUUAGAGUAUCUUGUGUGCAAGUUUGGGUAGCCUGCGGUCUGGCCUCGCAUUUAUUGGAAACAGCUCGGAAGUGCAUCCAUCUUUGAAAUUGGACCAGGUAAGGCGGUUGGUGGGACGGAUAACUGCUGCGCGAACCUGGUGCCGGAUCACAACUGAACAUCAGACCCCACGACUCCUUAACGAGAUGAACGUUAAUAACGGUGAAAGAAGUCUGGGAGUCAGAGGGGCUGCCAAUCGCACUGUUGGGCCGGUGGACCGGGAGGAAGCGGUGGAGCGUGUGCGUCUGUGUAGGCCUCGUGGAAGCACAGGAUACGGCUCUGACUUUUUCCAAAGGAAGAAGAGAAGAGGUCGGCCCUCCCCCCACCCCCCCACCCCCCCCAGCUUCUGAAUACGUGCGCUUCCGAGU